rnacentral:rRNA from 1 species
CGUAGAGAUCUGGAGGAAUACCGGUGGCGAAGGCGGCCCCCUGGACAAAGACUGACGCUCAGGUGCGAAAGCGUGGGGAGCAAACAGGAUUAGAUACCCUGGUAGUCCACGCCGUAAACGAUGUCUACUUGGAGGUUGUGCCCUUGAGGCGUGGCUUCCGGAGCUAACGCGUUAAGUAGACCGCCUGGGGAGUACGGCCGCAAGGUUAAAACUCAAAUGAAUUGACGGGGGCCCGCACAAGCGGUGGAGCAUGUGGUUUAAUUCGAUGCAACGCGAAGAACCUUAC